AAUCUCCCUAACAGAUGCAUCGGAAAGGGAAUUACCGUCUACCCUUGCGUUUACUAUGGGGUGGUACAAAAAGAAAUCAAUCGCAUAGAGAGGUGGGGGGGGGAAUAAUCGCCGCCCGCCCCAGAAACUAACUGCAGAGACUAUUCUCUCCCCGCCUCCCGAUUAGGGUUUUUUUUUUUUAAUCAACCCGGGUUACGCGCGCAUGCACACACGCCGGCUGCGGCCAAUUCUCGCGGGACCCGGCGUUCUCGCUAUAAAAAGUCACCAGAGGGGCUCUUCCUUCCUUUCCCAUUUGAUAACUGCAGGCAUCCAGGUGAGUACUGUGAAGAAUGGCAAAUGAACAGAUUUCAGAUGAGCCAGUUGAAAACAGAGGGGCAGUUCAGUCGUCUAGCUGAUCUUCCGUUGAGACGUGGAAGAAGUGUUCAUCAUUGUGGCCCGAAUCCCUGGCGGAGUGCUCCCUAAUACUUUGCAACCAGCUAAAGUAUGAAUAUAUGUUUUAUUUGGACCUGUGGAAGUGAAGGCAAUGAGAACCUAUGACAGUUUAAAUAAAUUAUUCGAUCCCUAGGCUUGUGCA
rnacentral:lncRNA from 1 species